rnacentral:rRNA from 1 species
UACGUAGGUGGCAAGCGUUGUCCGGAUUUAUUGGGCUUAAAGGGUGCGUAGGCGGCUUUGUAAGUCAGUGGUGAAAUAUGGCAGCUUAACUGUCACGGUGCCAUUGAUACUGCGGAGCUUGAGUACAGAUGAGGUAGGCGGAAUUGACGGUGUAGCGGUGAAAUGCUUAGAUAUCGUCAAGAACACCUAUAGCGAAGGCAGCUUACUAGGCUGUAACUGACGCUGAGGCGCGAAAGUGUGGGGAGCAAACAGG